UCUUAUAUAUCUUUUUGUUUAGUGGUACAAAUUUUAAAGGUAGUUUUAGUUUCAAUAGUUCUAUUUUGGGCUACUUCUCCCAAAAAUAAACUUAUAAACAUUGCAAAUUCAGGAGGCCGAACAACUUUUAUACGUGAAAAUUCGACUCCGUCACGUCACCUUUUUGAUGCCAUGAACGGUCGACGAAUAGGCAACUUUGAGUUUAAGCAAAAAGAGGAAGACAUGCCCAACGUGAUAAGCUAGUCAAGGGUUUGGCUCGGCGUCACUGGUCAUCGAUCCAUUUGCCAAGGGAUUAGCUACGUGAUCCCAGUGACCAAACUAACAUCGGAGAAUUCUGCCUCUGGAUGGAAAUCGAUAUGCCAUGAAAAGGACUCGUUGGAUCACGGAGAAAGUAACUUCCUGGGCUAAAGCAAGAUACACUUAAUUAUAUUCCUGGAAGUGCAUCAAAGUCUCUUACUUAUCAGACUGCGAAAGGGACCAUGCCACAAGUCGUGAGCCUUACCCUGCCCAAUAAUUUUUACACUAUCAAAUACUAUUGACAUUGGAGUCUGUGUCUGUAGAUAUUACGUAUGAUGCAGUUACUGCUUCUUCACUUAUACUAAAAGUUUCGUACAUAUCAAAAAAUCACUAAAUAAUUUUUUUU